rnacentral:tRNA from 1 species
GGGCCCAUAGCUCAGACGGUUAGAGCACCUGACUCAUAAUCAGGGGGUCGCUGGUUCGAUCCCAGCUGGGCCCACCU